rfam:Purpureocillium lilacinum isolate PLFJ-1 scaffold00001, whole genome shotgun sequence.
GGCCGUGUGGCUCAAUGGCAGAGCGUCUGACUACGAUUAGUUAAUCAGAAGGUCGCAGGUUCGACCCCUGUCUCGGUCA